UACGUAGGGGGCGAGCGUUAUCCGGAUUUAUUGGGCGUAAAGCGUGUGUAGGCGGUUUAUUAAGUUUAAGAUUAAAGCCCGGAGCUUAACUCCGGUUCGUCUUAAAAACUGGUAGACUUGAGUGUAGUAGAGGCAAGUGGAAUUUCUAGUGUAGCGGUUAAAUGCGUAGAUAUUAGAAGGAACACCAGUGGCGAAGGCGGCUUGCUGGGCUAUUACUGACGCUGAGACACGAAAGCGUGGGGAGCAAAUAGG
rnacentral:rRNA from 2 species